rnacentral:rRNA from 1 species
AAGUGACCUAAGAGCAUUUGGUGAAUGCCUUGGCGCACACAGGCGAUGAAGGACGUGGUACGCUGCGAAAAGCCAUGGGGAGCUGCGAACAAGCUUUGAUCCGUGGAUAUCCGAAUGGGGAAACCCGGCCCCUAGGGGUCAUCGCUGUCUGAAUACAUAGGGCAGCGAGGCGAACCCGGUGAACUGAAACAUCUCAGUAACCGGAGGAAAGGACAUCAACCGAGACUCCGUUAGUAGUGGCGAGCGAACGCGGACCAGGCCAGUGCCUUAUCUGAUCUAACUGGAACCUUCUGGAAAGUUGGGCCUUAGUGGGUGAUAGCCCCGUACAGGUGUCGAUAAGAUAAGGACUUGAGUAAGGCGGGACACGUGAAAUCCUGUCUGAACGUGGGGGGACCACCCUCCAAGCCUAAGUACUCGUGUGCGACCGAUAGUGAACCAGUACCGUGAGGGAAAGGUGAAAAGAACCCCGACGAGGGGAGUGAAAUAGAUCCUGAAACCGGAUGCUUACAAUCAGUGGGAGGGCUUCGGCCUGACCGCGUACCUUUUGUAUAAUGGGUCAGCGACUUAAUCUGCCGAGCAAGCUUAAACCGUUAGGUGUAGGCGCAGCGAAAGCGAGUCUUAAUAGGGCGACAAGUUCGGUGUAUUAGACCCGAAACCAGGUGAUCUAGCCAUGGGCAGGUUGAAGGUGCAGUAACAUGCACUGGAGGACCGAACCCACCUAUGUUGAAAAAUGGGGGGAUGACCUGUGGCUAGGGGUGAAAGGCCAAUCAAACCUGGAAAUAGCUGGUUCUCCGCGAAAUCUAUUUAGGUAGAGCGUUGGAUGAAUACUCUCGGGGGUAGAGCACUGGAUGGGCUAGGGGGCUUCACCGCUUACCAAACCUAACCAAACUCCGAAUACCGAGAAGUACUAUCUGGCAGACACACUGCGGGUGCUAAGGUCCGUAGUGGAAAGGGAAACAGCCCUAAUCGCCAGCUAAGGUCCCUAAGUUAUGGCUAAGUGGCAAAGGAUGUGGAAAUCCCAAAACAACCAGGAGGUUGGCUUAGAAGCAGCCAUCCUUUAAAGAAAGCGUAACAGCUCACUGGUCUAAAUAAGGAUUUCUGCGCCGAAAAUGUAACGGGGCUUAAGCCAUACACCGAAGCUGCGAAUGUAUCAUUUCUUCUGGAUUUGAUACGUGGUAGCGGAGCGUUCCGUAAGCCUGUGAAGGGUGCUCGCGAGGGCAUCUGGAGGUAUCGGAAGUGAGAAUGCUGACAUGAGUAACGAUAAAGAGUGUGAGAGACACUCUCGCCGAAAGUCCAAGGGUUCCUGCGUAAAGCUAAUCUGCGCAGGGUUAGCCGGCCCCUAAGGCGAGGCCGAAAGGCGUAGUCGAUGGGAACGAGGUUAAUAUUCCUCGGCCAGCGGGUGGUGACGAAUGUUGUAAGUUGUCAGUCCUUAUCGGAUUGGACUGGCAGCGAAGAUGUUCCAGGAAAUAGCCCCCGCAUAAGUCCGUACCCUAAACCGACACAGGUGGACAGGUAGAGCAUACUAAGGCGCUUGAGAGAACCGCAUUGAAGGAACUCGGCAAAAUGCACCCGUAACUUCGGGAGAAGGGUGACCUUCGCCUGGGCAACCAGGCGAGGGUGGCACAGACCAGGGGGUGGCGACUGUUUACUAAAAACACAGGGCUCUGCGAAGUCGCAAGACGACGUAUAGGGUCUGACGCCUGCCCGGUGCCGGAAGGUUAAAGAGAGGGGUGAGAGCUCUGAACUGAAGCCCCGGUAAACGGCGGCCGUAACUAUAACGGUCCUAAGGUAGCGAAAUUCCUUGUCGGGUAAGUUCCGACCUGCACGAAUGGCGUAACGACUUCCCCGCUGUCUCCAAUGCGGACUCAGUGAAAUUGAACUCCCCGUGAAGAUGCGGGGUACCCGCGGUCAGACGGAAAGACCCCGUGCACCUUUACUAUAGCUUCGCACUGGUAUUCGUAACUGCAUGUGUAGGAUAGGCGGAAGGCUUUGAACCAUGGGCGCCAGUCCGUGGGGAGCCACCCUUGAAAUACCGCCCUUGUGAUUAUGGAUAUCUAACCGCGGCCCAUGAAGCUGGGUCCGGGACCGUGCGUGGUGGGUAGUUUGACUGGGGCGGUCGCCUCCUAAAGAGUAACGGAGGCGCGCGAUGGUGGGCUCAAGCUGGUCGGAAAUCAGCUGUCGAGUGCAAUGGCAUAAGCCUGCCUGACUGCGAGAUCGACAGAUCGAGCAGAGACGAAAGUCGGUCAUAGUGAUCCGGUGGUCCCGCGUGGAAGGGCCAUCGCUCAACGGAUAAAAGGUACGCCGGGGAUAACAGGCUGAUGACGCCCAAGAGUCCAUAUCGACGGCGUUGUUUGGCACCUCGAUGUCGGCUCAUCGCAUCCUGGGGCUGGAGCAGGUCCCAAGGGUUUGGCUGUUCGCCAAUUAAAGCGGUACGUGAGCUGGGUUUAGAACGUCGUGAGACAGUUCGGUCCCUAUCUGCCGUGGGUGUUGGAGAAUUGAGAGGAGCUGUCCCUAGUACGAGAGGACCGGGAUGGACGCACCUCUGGUGGACCUGUUGUUGCGCCAGCAGCAUAGCAGGGUAGCUACGUGCGGACGGGAUAACCGCUGAAAGCAUCUAAGCGGGAAGCCUCCCUCAAAACCAGUUCUCCCUUGAGAGCCGUGGAAGACCACCACGUUGAUAGGCCGGGUGUGGAAGCGCAGCAAUGCGUGAAGCUUACCGGUACUAAUCGCUCGAUUGGCUUGAU